rnacentral:tRNA from 1 species
GUCCCUGUAGCGCAAUGGAUAGCGCGUUUGACUUAUAAUCCAAAGGUCGUGGUUACGAAUUCCACCUGGGAUG